GAUGAACGCUGGCGGCGUGCCUAAUACAUGCAAGUCGAGCGAACAGACGAGGAGCUUGCUCCUCUGACGUUAGCGGCGGACGGGUGAGUAACGCGUGGAUAACCUACCUAUAAGACUGGGAUAACUUCGGGAAACCGGAGCUAAUACCGGAUAAUAUAUUGAACCGCAUGGUUCAAUAGUGAAAGACGGUUUUGCUGUCACUUAUAGAUGGAUCCGCGCCGCAUUAGCUAGUUGGUAAGGUAACGGCUUACCAAGGCAACGAUGCGUAGCCGACCUGAGAGGGUGAUCGGCCACACUAGAACUGAGACACGGUCCAGACUCCUACGGGAGGCAGCAGUAGGGAAUCUUCCGCAAUGGGCGAAAGCUUGACGGAGCAGCGCCGCGUGAGUGAUGAAGGUCUUCGGAUCGUAAAACUCUGUUAUUAGGGAAGAACAAAUGUGUAAGUAACUAUGCACGUCUUGACGGUACCUAAUCAGAAAGCCACGGCUAACUACGUG
rnacentral:rRNA from 1 species